rnacentral:rRNA from 1 species
GACGAACGCUGGCGGCGUGCUUAAUACAUGCAAGUCGAGCGAGGCCCAUCCAGUGGCAACACUGGGGAAGGCCGAGCGGCGAACGGGUGAGUAACACGUGAGCAACCUGCCCCGAAGUCUGGAAUAACAUCGGGAAACCGGUGCUAAUACCGGAUUGCCCCACCUGACCGCAUGAUCGGGUGAGGAAAGAUUUAUCGCUUCGGGAGGGGCUCGCGGCCUAUCAGCUAGUGGCGGGGUAACGGCCCACCAAGGCGUCGACGGGUAGCUGGUCUGAGAGGACGACCAGCCACACUGGGACUGAGACACGGCCCAGACUCCUACGGGAGGCAGCAGUAGGGAAUCUUGCGCAAUGGGCGAAAGCCUGACGCAGCAACGCCGCGUGGGGGAUGACGGCCUCGG